CUCACAGGGCAGAGCCCAUGGGUCUCUGGGAAGAUCUAAACAAUUGCUAGUGUACUAGGAACUGCCUGAACUAUUAAACUCUUCCAGUAGUUGGAUUUGGGGUGGAAUUGUUUUCCCACUGCAAAGGACGAUACUAAGAAAAAGCAAUGAUGCAUUUCUUUAUUGGGGAAAGAAAAUGCACAUGAACGAUGACUUGCGCUUUCUCAGGAGGGUGAUGUCGCUUGUGCAAACAGACUUUCUGUCUCCUGAACCCCAGCUGGAGAUGAUUCUCAAAGAAGAGGGAAAAGUAUACAAAUGGAGAACAGACACCCCAAGUUAUCUCUCCCUUCCUCUCUACUCACGGUAUUGACAAUACUUGAAGGACAAAGGAAGCAUCACUGGACUGAGGGAGAUAUUCUGCCUGAAAAGAAUUCAACCAGUAAUAUUGCUAGAACGUGGGGUUCCAGGCUGCUGACGUUUCCAUAUCAUCACUGGAAGCUGAGGCCAUGUUUCUGCUGGGCGACCCUAGACACUGCAGCAUGUACUGCCCAGCUGGACUUGGGUGGUGGCCCCCCACAGCACACUGAUCGGCCCAUGCUGAUAUAUAAGCCAGGAAGCCAUCGCAGAGAGCUGCCUGAGCAAUUAUGCAGACUGCCUGCUUGGGUCUGUUCCACACCUUGCCUUGCUGUGAACCCCAGACUCCACCUUCUGAUCCCAGUUCGUCCCUGCCACCUGCCUGUAACUUGGUGCCAGACUUCCUGGUAUUGUGACCCAGCUCGACGCUGACUUGUGCUCGUCUCCUGACCACAACGUGGCUGAAAAUCCCUUUCAUACAUUCCAGCCUCUUGUGUAAGGCUAAAAAUUAGAGUCCUCCCUCAUGUAAAAUGACGAACAUGAUCAAGGGGCUUUCCUGGGAGUUGGAAGAGUCAACCAAAGUUAAAG